rnacentral:sRNA from 1 species
GCACCGUUGUAGUGCAAAAUAUUCAUCAUCUGCUCCGAUUCGUUCAAUCAAUUUUUUCA